rnacentral:misc_RNA from 1 species
UGGGAGAGCAUGGGCUGGUCCUGCA